rnacentral:snoRNA from 2 species
AGGCCGUGAUGGGGACACUUGCGUAAUAGCUCCUUGAACCUUUCCCAAGUUUCAUAUAAGGAUUCCCCGUCCUCUUGUGAACAUGUAUUAAUUUCAGCCAUUAACUU